rfam:Candidatus Woesebacteria bacterium RIFCSPHIGHO2_01_FTLL_38_26b rifcsphigho2_01_scaffold_71808, whole genome shotgun sequence.
GCGCGGGUGGCGAAAAGGUAUACGCAACUGUCUUGAAAACAGUCGUCGGUAAGACAUGAGGGUUCAAUUCCCUCCCCGCGCA